rnacentral:lncRNA from 1 species
CUUACUGUGCAGCGUCCUCGCAAACCACCUCGUACUACGUUUUACAAUAUCACCACAUCAUUGGCUUCCUCCAAUGUCUGAACCUCUGGUCCGCCUUGGUCCGUUUCAUCAUUUCCAUAAGUGAGAUUGGUUUCGACUUCUUGAGCUUCUUCUCCAACUCCCUCUCCCACCUGCUCUCCGUUCAAUAAAGCUGUCAAGUCCUCGUUAAGUGCUCCCAAUUCCCG